CAUUGACCUUUUAAGACCUAACGGAGAUGUCUGACCGUUCUGCUGAUGUGACCGUUACGGUAUGCCACGUGAUGGUGCGAAAUAGUUAAGGGACAAAAUAGUCCCUACGCCAAAAACGACACCUUUCGCGUCUCCCUCCCACGAUCUUCUUUUUGCUUUUCUACAUUUUCUUACUGAAAAGUCACAGUAAUACUUUGUUCUUCCUUCAAAAAGAAAGUCCCAGUUUCUUCCUUGUUGCGUGGUGGUGAAGUCCUUGAAGGAGAAGGUGAAGGGAUUGCAUUGUUUGGUUGUCAUCUCUCUUCGUCUACAAAGAUGGAUGAUCACUAUGUGGUGCCAGUUUUCUAUCAUAGGGGUAAUUUUAUUAGAAGAGGUGGAAGUGAGCUUGUUUAUGUGCAUGGUAAGGUAGAGAAGUUUUUGAAGAUGGACAUUGAUUUUAUUAACUUCGAAGACUUGAUAACCUUAUUCAAGGGCCUAGGAUAUCAAUCAUACAAGACUGUCUACUGUAGCCAUUCCUACUACAACAAGGCUGUUGAAGUUUAUUCCCAAUCCAUCAUCCAACAAUGCAGAGUGAAGAAUUGUGUCUCUCAUUCUGUUUAGGUUUAAUGUGUUUUCUUGUAAUGGUUUAGGGCAAACUUGAGAAUUGCCUUUUAUGGUAUUUGUUUUGUGUUGUUUUAUUUUGGUCAAAGUAAACUUGUUAGAUGGUACCAUGUAAUUUAGCAAAUUACGUUAUUAGCAAACUUGUUUGUUCUUUUGAAA